GACUCAGCUUUUGGUUCAGAAAGCAGCCAGAAGAAGGCAUUUAUACUCCAUCCAUCACCAUGGUAUCCGAGUCUACAUGCUGGAAUAAUGCACGUGGGCACUGCACCAUAUGGAGCACGGAGCAGCUGUUACCAACCUGGAUCCUUCUUUGGGAAGUACUCUGGUGUUAAAUGAACUGCUCUGAUUGACACACACAGGAUGGGGCUAAAAGGUGUAAAUGUUUCAAUGCGGCCCCUAUCAACUCCAUCCCAGAGGCUGGUCCAGAUUAGAAGGCGAGAAAAUGAACUCAGGAUAACAUGUUCGCUGAGCUCAUGCAGUCCUCCUGCACUGAUAGGGCCCAGCUGAAUGUGUGGAGUCAAACAAUUGCGGAGUCCUGUAAAGCAUUACAGGAACACAAAGUGAGGAGGGACACAUGCGAUGAGAGCAGGCAGGAGGCUAUAGUCAAGCUCAUGGGGGAGCAAACUGACAUGCUCCACUGCAUGGUGGAUCUAAUGUGGGAAAGGCAACAAGACCACAGACUGCCGCUGCAGCCCCUGUAUAACUGCCCUCCCCCUCCCUGAGUUCCAUAGCCUCCUCACCCAGACGCCCAAGAACACAAGUGGGGAGGCUAUGGGGACCCACACACGCAACCCCAGAGGAUCGCCCAAGCAGCAGAAAGCUGACAUAUGAGAACUUUUGAUUUGGUUUCUGGACUUGUUCUUCCCUCCUCCUCAACCCCCUAACCCAAUAC